GGAGAGAUGGCUCAGUGGUUAAGAGCACUGGUUUACUUCCAGAAGUCCUGGGCUCAAUUCCCAGCAUUCCCA
rnacentral:tRNA from 1 species